GUGCUUACUUUGGCAGCAACAAUACUAAAAUUGGAAUGAUAGAAGAUUAGCAUGGACCUUGUGCAAGAAUGACACAUGAAUUCGUGAAGUGUUCCAUAUAUAU
rnacentral:snRNA from 1 species